GUGCCAGCAGCCGCGGUAAUACGUAGGGGGCGAGCGUUAAUCGGAAUUACUGGGCGUAAAGCGUGCGCAGGCGGUUGUGUAAGACAGAUGUGAAAUCCCCGGGCUCAACCUGGGAACUGCGUUUGUGACUGCACAGCUGGAGUGCGGCAGAGGGGGAUGGAAUUCCGCGUGUAGCAGUGAAAUGCGUAGAUAUGCGGAGGAAUACCGAUGGCGAAGGCAGCCCCCUGGGCCAAUACUGACGCUCAUGCACGAGAGCGUGGGGAGCGAACAGGAUUAGAAACCCUUGUAGUCC
rnacentral:rRNA from 1 species